rnacentral:siRNA from 1 species
UAAGUAUUCCCGCCUGUCACGC